rnacentral:rRNA from 1 species
AUUCCAAGCUUAGAGUUUGAUCAUGGCUCAGAGUGAACGCUGGCGGCGUGCUUAACACAUGCAAGUCGAACGGAUGAAAUAAGCUUGCUUAUUUCGUUAGUGGCGCACGGGUGAGUAAUGUAUAGCUAACCUGCCCUUUAGUGGGGGACAACAGUUGGAAACGACUGCUAAUACCCCAUAUUCCUUCUUAUCAUAAGGUAAGUUGGGAAAGAUUUAUUGCUAAAGGAUGGGGCUUUAUGGUAUCAGCUAGUUGGUGGGGUAACGGCCUACCAAGGCUAUGACGCCUACCUGGUCUGAGAGGAUGAUCAGGCACACUGGAACUGAGACACGGUCCAGACUCCUACGGGAGGCAGCAGUGGGGAAUAUUGCACAAUGGAGGAAACUCUGAUGCAGCAACGCCGCGUGGAGGAUGACGCAUUUCGGUGUGUAAACUCCUUUUAUAAGGGAAGAUAAUGACGGUACCUUAUGAAUAAGCACCGGCUAACUCCGUGCCAGCAGCCGCGGUAAUACGGAGGGUGCAAGCGUUACUCGGAAUCACUGGGCGUAAAGGAUGCGUAGGCUGGAAAUCAAGUCGAGAGUGAAAUCCAACGGCUCAACCCGUUGAACUGCUCUCGAAACUGGUUACCUAGAAUAUGGGAGAGGUAGAUGGAAUUGGUGGUGUAGGGGUAAAAUCCGUAGAUAUCACCAGGAAUACCGAUUGCGAAGGCGAUCUACUGGAACAUUAUUGACGCUGAGGCAUGAAAGCGUGGGGAGCAAACAGGAUUAGAUACCCUGGUAGUCCACGCCCUAAACGAUGCACACUAGUUGUUGCGAUGCUAGUCAUUGCAGUAAUGCACUUAACAGAUUAAGUGUGCCGCCUGGGGAGUACGGUCGCAAGAUUAAAACUCAAAGGAAUAGACGGGGACCCGCACAAGCGGUGGAGCAUGUGGUUUAAUUCGAAGAUACACGAAGAACCUUACCUGGGCUUGAUAUCCUAAGAAUCCUGUAGAGAUAUGGGAGUGCUAGUUUACUAGAACUUAGAGACAGGUGCUGCACGGCUGUCGUCAGCUCGUGUCGUGAGAUGUUGGGUUAAGUCCCGCAACGAGCGCAACCCUCGUGAUUAGUUGCUAACAGUUCGGCUGAGCACUCUAAUCAGACUGCCUUCGCAAGGAGGAGGAAGGUGAGGACGACGUCAAGUCAUCAUGGCCCUUAUGCCCAGGGCUACACACGUGCUACAAUGGCUAGGACAAAGAGAAGCGAUACUGCGAAGUGGAGCAAAUCUUAAAACCUAGUCUCAGUUCGGAUUGGAGUCUGCAACUCGACUCCAUGAAGCUGGAAUCGCUAGUAAUCGUAGAUCAGAUAUGCUACGGUGAAUACGUUCCCGGGUCUUGUACUCACCGCCCGUCACACCAUGGGAGUUGAAUUCACCCGAAGCCGGAAUACUAAACUAGUUACCGACCACGGUGGGUUCAGCGACUGGGGUGAAGUCGUAACAAGGUAACCGUAGGAGAACCUGCGGUUGGAUCACCUCCUUAGAUCUGGAUCCCCUCUAGAGUCGAC